rnacentral:rRNA from 1 species
AACGAACGCUGGCGGCAGGCUUAACACAUGCAAGUCGAGCGCCCCGCAAGGGGAGCGGCAGACGGGUGAGUAACGCGUGGGAACCUACCCUUUUCUACGGAAUAACGCAUGGAAACGUGUGCUAAUACCGUAUACGCCCUGAGGGGGAAAGAUUUAUCGGAGAAGGAUGGGCCCGCGUUGGAUUAGCUAGUUGGUGGGGUAAGGGCCUACCAAGGCGACGAUCCAUAGCUGGUCUGAGAGGAUGAUCAGGCACAUUGGGACUGAGACACGGCCCAAACUCCGACGGGAGGCAGCAGUGGGGAAUAUCGGACAACGGGCGCAAGCCUGAUCCAGCCAUGCCGCGUGAGUGAUGAAGGCCCUAGGGUUGUAAAGCUCUUUCACCGGAGAAGAUAAUGACGGUAUCCGGAGGAGAAGCCCCGGCUAACUUCGUGCCAGCAGCCGCUGUAAGAC